rnacentral:rRNA from 1 species
CCCCUGGGUAGUCCUAGUGUUGCAUCCCU